GCCGGGCGUAGUGGCUUGCGUCUGUAAUCCAGCUACCUGGAGGCCGGGACCUGGAGGCCGGGAAACGGAACGGCUUGAGGCUGGGAGUCCUGUCGGUCGACGCUCUAUGUUGAUCAGGUGUCCACUCUAAGCCUGGCGUCAACAUGGUCACCCUGGCGGAGGCCGGGGCGGCCAGGUUAGCCAAGGAGAGACGUACCGGCCCAGGGGGUACACCCAGCAGGCAAAAGUCUCCGCGUCGAGCAGUAGAGGGAUCGCACCCGUGAAUAGGCGUCGGCAGGUAGCCUAGCUAAUACAGACGGACUGUAACCUUU
rfam:Macrostomum lignano uti_cns_0000569, whole genome shotgun sequence.